CCUACGGGAGGCAGCAGUGGGGAAUUUUGGACAAUGGGCGCAAGCCUGAUCCAGCAAUGCCGCGUGAGUGAAGAAGGCCUUCGGGUUGUAAAGCUCUUUUGUCAGGGAAGAAACGGUGGUUCCUAAUAUGGACUACUAAUGACGGUACCUGAAGAAUAAGCACCGGCUAACUACGUGCCAGCAGCCGCGGUAAUACGUAGGGUGCAAGCGUUAAUCGGAAUUACUGGGCGUAAAGCGUGCGCAGGCGGUUAUAUAAGUCAGAUGUGAAAUCCCCGGGCUCAACCUGGGAACUGCAUUUGAGACUGUAUGGCUAGAGUGUGUCAGAGGGGGGUAGAAUUCCACGUGUAGCAGUGAAAUGCGUAGAUAUGUGGAGGAAUACCGAUGGCGAAGGCAGCCCCCUGGGAUAACACUGACGCUCAUGCACGAAAGCGUGGGGAGCAAACAGGAUUAGAUACCCUGGUAGUCCACGCCCUAAACGAUGUCUACUAGUUGUCGGGACUUAAUUGUCUUGGUAAACGCAGCUAACGCGUGAAGUAGACCGCCUGGGGAAGUACGGGUCGCAAAGNUUUAAAACUUAAAUGAAUUGACCGGNNGAGAGNGCGAGACGACACGAGGGAGGAGG
rnacentral:rRNA from 1 species